rnacentral:lncRNA from 1 species
CUGCAACUGCAAGGAGGAUGUCCGAAGGAAGGUUCAUUCCGUGAUCGAGAAGUAUGCCGAGCGUGGCCUCCGGUCCUUGGCCGUCGCUCGCCAGGAAGUUCCUGAGAGAUCAAAGGAGAGCCUUGGGGGCCCAUGGCAGUUCGUCGGCCUUCUGCCUCUCUUCGACCCCCCAAGGCACGACAGUGCAGAGACCAUCCGCAGGGCUCUGAAUCUUGGAGUGAAUGUGAAGAUGAUCACGGGUAAGGCGGUGCAGAAGCUACCGCAAUAUUUGGCUUCCUCUCGACAACUUUACUGAACUUAGCUUUUGUAUCUUCAGGGGAUCAGCUUGCCAUCGCCAAGGAGACAGGACGCAGGCUCGGCAUGGGAACAAACAUGUAUCCUUCCUCUUCGUUGCUUGGCCAAGACAAGGAUUCAUCCAUUGC